rnacentral:rRNA from 1 species
AUCAAUAAGCGGAGGAAAAGAAACCAACAGGGAUUGCCUCAGUAGCGGCGAGUGAAGCGGCAAGAGCUCAGAUUUGAAAUCGUGCUUUGCGGCACGAGUUGUAGAUUGCAGGUUGGAGUCUGUGUGGAAGGCGGUGUCCAAGUCCCUUGGAACAGGGCGCCCAGGAGGGUGAGAGCCCCGUGGGAUGCCGGCGGAAGCAGUGAGGCCCUUCUGACGAGUCGAGUUGUUUGGGAAUGCAGCUCCAAGCGGGUGGUAAAUUCCAUCUAAGGCUAAAUACUGGCGAGAGACCGAUAGCGAACAAGUACUGUGAAGGAAAGAUGAAAAGCACUUUGAAAAGAGAGUGAAACAGCACGUGAAAUUGUUGAAAGGGAAGGGUAUUGCGCCCGACAUGGGGAUUGCGCACCGCUGCCUCUCGUGGGCGGCGCUCUGGGCUUUCCCUGGGCCAGCAUCGGUUCUUGCUGCAGGAGAAGGGGUUCUGGAACGUGGCUCUUCGGAGUGUUAUAGCCAGGGCCAGAUGCUGCGUGCGGGGACCGAGGACUGCGGCCGUGUAGUCACGAU